GACGAACGCUGGCGGCGUGCUUAACACAUGCAAGUCGAACGGAAAGGCCCUGCUUUUGUGGGGUGCUCGAGUGGCGAACGGGUGAGUAACACGUGAGUAACCUGCCCUUGACUUUGGGAUAACUUCAGGAAACUGGGGCUAAUACCGGAUAGGAGCUCCUGCUGCAUGGUGGGGGUUGGAAAGUUUCGGCGGUUGGGGAUGGACUCGCGGCUUAUCAGCUUGUUGGUGGGGUAGUGGCUUACCAAGGCUUUGACGGGUAGCCGGCCUGGGAGGGUGACCGGCCACAUUGGGACUGAGAUACGGCCCAGACUCCUACGGGAGGCAGCAGUGGGGAAUAUUGCACAAUGGGCGGAAGCCUGAUGAAGAAACGCCGCGUGCGGGAUGACGGCCUUCGGGUUGUAAACCGCUUUCGCCUGUGACGAAGCGUGAGUGACGGUAAUGGGUAAAGAAGCACCGGCUAACUACGUG
rnacentral:rRNA from 1 species